UUUGGCGCCAGAACAUUUUUCUUUUACCAUGAAUCGAGCGGGUAGAUCUUCAUAACAGAAUCGGAGAUACAUUAUAACAGAAUGUCCUUGGGAAUGAGUGCACACCCCAAUAGAAGGAAAACAAAUGAAAUAUAGGGCACUGCGGCUCAUUAAAUGGCUACAGAAGAAACACCUGCUAAAGAAGAAGCUUAGAUGCCCUGUUUGUCACCAUAAGAUGAAAAUGAUUGCCGUGGUGAAGAAAGACCAAUAUAUGUGGUGCUGCAAAAGAGCAAGUCAUAGGAACAUUUCCAGAACAAUCAGAACUUGCUCCCUCUUUGAAAAAUCAAAAUCAUCUCUUUUCAGUUGGAUCAAGUUAAUUUGCAGAUUUAUUCUCAAGCGCUCAGGCUCAGACAAAUAGAUAUGAUCGAUGAUGAAGUGGCUGGCAGCUCCAGAACACUAAGUAGCAUGGCAAGGCACAUUUGACAUGUUUGUAUACGUGCAAUUAAAAGCAAACAACUUUUUGAAUGUUUCUUUCUAUAUAUUCUGUGUAAUUAUAUUCUUUUUGUUUUCAGUAUGCACAUGGAUGCUUUGGAAAUGCAUGGAAAAGGAAGAAAUGGGUAUUUGGACUGAUGGGAAUUAAAGAGAAAAGGCGAAGGCUCAUGUUAAAACUUGUUGAAAAACAAUCAAGGCGCCACCUUGUUCUUCUGAUCAGACAACAUGUUAAUUUAGGUAGUGCCAUUACCAGUGAUGAGUGGAGAGCCUACAAGAAUGCCUACACUGUAAAUCACAGCAGGUGGUUUGUAGAUUGUCAAUCUGGCAGUCAUACACAACAUAUCGAAAGAGCUUGGAUGACCAUCAAAGGACAUGUCCGUAGACUAAGAGGAAAUCGUACUGAGAAGUUGCUGGAGGAACACCUCAUGGUUCUUGAAUGGUCAUCUUGGCUUGGUUCACAACACCCUGAUGGACAACUGGAACGUUUGUUCAAGGAUGUACAAAAAAUAUUUCCAGUCUGAACCAGUCUGGCAUGAACUUUUUUUGGAGGGGGUGACUGUUUGGUGUUUUAAAUAACACAUUUAAUGUUACAUGUGGUACUAUUACAAUACAUUGCCAUUUUUGACGGUAGUUAAAUGUUAUUUCAAGCUCUGAUUGUAAUUUAGGUCCAAGUGUAAUAAAUGGUGACGUGAUACAUUUAAGUCUCACUUUUGCCAUUUAUAAAUGUUUAUUACUCAUUAAUAAAUGGUGUUAUGCUUUACACUUUACAAUAAGGCUCCCCUUUGGCAUUUAUACAUGUUUAUUAUUCAUUAAUAAAUGUUGUUAUGCUUUACACUUUACAAUAAGGCUCCCCUUUGGCAUUUAUACAUGUUUAUUAUUCAUUAAUAAAUGUUGUUAUGCUUUACACUUUACAAUAAGGCUCCCAUUUGGUAUUUAUAAAUGUUUAUUAUUCAUUAAUAAAUGUUAUGCUUUACACUUUACAAUAAGGCUCCCCUUUGGCAUUUAUACAUGUUUAUUAUUCAUUAAUAAAUGUUGUUAUGCUUUACACUUUACAAUAAGGCUCCCCUUUGGCAUUUAUAAAUGUUUAUUAUUCAUUAAUAAAUGUUGUUAUGCUUUACACUUUACAAUAAGGCUCCCAUCUGGCAUUUAUAAAUGUUUAUUAUUCAUUAAUAAAUGUUGUUAUGCUUUACACUUUACAAUAAGGCUCCCAUCUAGCAUUUAUAAAUGUUUAUUAUUCAUUAAUAAAUGUUGUUAUGCUUUACACUUUACAAUAAGGCUCCCCUUUGGCAUUUAUAAAUGUU